ensembl:lncRNA
CUGUACCCUCUGAUCUGUGUCCCCAAGAAUAAUCCCCAACUGUACCCUCUGAUCUGUGUCCCCAAGAAUAAUCCCCAACCGUACCCUCUGAUCUGUGUCCCCAAGAAUAAUCCCCAACCGUACCCUCUGAUCUGUGUCCCCAAGAAUAAUCCCCAACCGUACCCUCUGAUCUGUGUCCCCAAGAAUAAUCCCCAACCGUACCCUCUGAUCUGUGUCCCCAAGAAUAAUCCCCAACCGUACCCUCUGAUCUGUGUCCCCAAGAAUAAUCCCCAACCGUACCCUCUGAUCUGUGUCCCCAAGAAUAAUCCCCAACCGUACCCUCUGAUCUGUGUCCCCAAGAAUAAUCCCCAACUGUACCCUCUGAUCUGUGUCCCCAAGAAUAAUCCCCAACUGUACCCUCUGAUCUGUGUCCCCAAGAAUAAUCCCCAACUGUACCCUCUGAUCUGUGUCCCCAAGAAUAAUCCCCAACUGUACCCUCUGAUCUGUGUCCCCAAGAAUAAUCCCCAACUGUACCCUCUGAUCUGUGUCCCCAAGAAUAAUCCCCAACUGUACCCUCUGAUCUGUGUCCCCAAGAAUAAUCCCCAACUGUACCCUCUGAUCUGUGUCCCCAAGAAUAAUCCCCAACUGUACCCUCUGAUCUGUGUCCCCAAGAAUAAUCCCCAACUGUACCCUCUGAUCUGUGUCCCCAAGAAUAAUCCCCAACUGUACCCUCUGAUCUGUGUCCCCAAGAAUAAUCCCCAACUGUACCCUCUGAUCUGUGUCCCCAAGAAUAAUCCCCAACUGUACCCUCUGAUCUGUGUCCCCAAGAAUAAUCCCCAACUGUACCCUCUGAUCUGUGUCCCCAAGAAUAAUCCCCAACUGUACCCUCUGAUCUGUGUCCCCAAGAAUAAUCCCCAACUGUACCCUCUGAUCUGUGUCCCCAAGAAUAAUCCCCAACUGUACCCUCUGAUCUGUGUCCCCAAGAAUAAUCCCCAACUGUACCCUCUGAUCUUUGUCCCCAAGAAUAAUCCCCAACUGUACCCUCUGAUCUGUGUCCCCAAGAGUAAUCCCCAACUGUACCCUCUGAUCUGUGUCCCCAAGAAUAAUCCCCAACCGUACCCUCUGAUCUGUGUCCCCAAGAAUAAUCCCCAACCGUACCCUCUGAUCUGUGUCCCCAAGAAUAAUCCCCAACCGUACCCUCUGAUCUGUGUCCCCAAGAAUAAUCCCCAACCGUACCCUCUGAUCUGUGUCCCCAAGAAUAAUCCCCAACCGUACCCUCUGAUCUGUGUCCCCAAGAAUAAUCCCCAACCGUACCCUCUGAUCUGUGUCCCCAAGAAUAAUCCCCAACCGUACCCUCUGAUCUGUGUCCCCAAGAAUAAUCCCCAACCGUACCCUCUGAUCUGUGUCCCCAAGAAUAAUCCCCAACCGUACCCUCUGAUCUGUGUCCCCAAGAAUAAUCCCCAACCGUACCCUCUGAUCUGUGUCCCCAAGAAUAAUCCCCAACCGUACCCUCUGAUCUGUGUCCCCAAGAAUAAUCCCCAACCGUACCCUCUGAUCUGUGUCCCCAAGAAUAAUCCCCAACCGUACCCUCUGAUCUGUGUCCCCAAGAAUAAUCCCCAACCGUACCCUCUGAUCUGUGUCCCCAAGAAUAAUCCCCAACCGUACCCUCUGAUCUGUGUCCCCAAGAAUAAUCCCCAACCGUACCCUCUGAUCUGUGUCCCCAAGAAUAAUCCCCAACCGUACCCUCUGAUCUGUGUCCCCAAGAAUAAUCCCCAACCGUACCCUCUGAUCUGUGUCCCCAAGAAUAAUCCCCAACCGUACCCUCUGAUCUGUGUCCCCAAGAAUAAUCCCCAACCGUACCCUCUGAUCUGUGUCCCCAAGAAUAAUCCCCAACCGUACCCUCUGAUCUGUGUCCCCAAGAAUAAUCCCCAACCGUACCCUCUGAUCUGUGUCCCCAAGAAUAAUCCCCAACCGUACCCUCUGAUCUGUGUCCCCAAGAAUAAUCCCCAACCGUACCCUCUGAUCUGUGUCCCCAAGAAUAAUCCCCAACCGUACCCUCUGAUCUGUGUCCCCAAGAAUAAUCCCCAACCGUACCCUCUGAUCUGUGUCCCCAAGAAUAAUCCCCAACCGUACCCUCUGAUCUGUGUCCCCAAGAAUAAUCCCCAACCGUACCCUCUGAUCUGUGUCCCCAAGAAUAAUCCCCAACCGUACCCUCUGAUCUGUGUCCCCAAGAAUAAUCCCCAACCGUACCCUCUGAUCUGUGUCCCCAAGAAUAAUCCCCAACCGUACCCUCUGAUCUGUGUCCCCAAGAAUAAUCCCCAACCGUACCCUCUGAUCUGUGUCCCCAAGAAUAAUCCCCAACCGUACCCUCUGAUCUGUGUCCCCAAGAAUAAUCCCCAACCGUACCCUCUGAUCUGUGUCCCCAAGAAUAAUCCCCAGCUGUACCCUCUGAUCUGUGUCCCCAAGAAUGUUUCUACAAACAAAAGGUCAUUUAAAACAGUAGGACUCUGGUCCAGUUGGAGCAAACAGGCUCCUCCGGUGAGCUUGUAA